rnacentral:rRNA from 1 species
GACGAACGCUGGCGGCGUGCUUAACACAUGCAAGUCGAACGGAAAGGCCCUGCUUUUGUGGGGUGCUCGAGUGGCGAACGGGUGAGUAACACGUGAGUAACCUGCCCUUGACUUUGGGAUAACUUCAGGAAACUGGGGCUAAUACCGGAUAGGAGCUCCUGCUGCAUGGUGGGGGUUGGAAAGCUGCGGCGGUUGGGGGUUGUCUCGCGGCUUAUGAGCUUGUUGGUGGGGUAGUGGCUUACCAAGGCUUUGACGGAUAGGCGGCCUGGGAGGGUGACCGGCGACAUGGGGACUGCGAUACGGCCCAGACGGGGACGGGAGGCAGCGGUGGGAAAUAUUGCACGACGGGCGGAAGCCAGACGCAGCAGCGCCGCGUGCGGGAUGAGGGCCUUCGGGGUGUAAACCGCUUUGGCCUGUGACGAGGGGUGAGUGACGGUAAUGGGUAAAGAAGCACCGGCUAACUACGUG